GAACUGACAUAGUUUUUAGUGUAGGGCUUUGUGCUCGCUUUCAGGCUAAUCCAAAGGAAUCUCACUUGACUGUUGUCAAGAGGAUACUGAAUAUUUGAAAGGCGCUACUAAUCUGUGUCUUUGGUACCCUAAAGGUAGUAAUUCUAAUCUAGUAGGGUAUGCUGAUGUUAAUUAUGCAGGUUUUCUCGUGGAUAAUGAUAACUAGGGAUUUUAAUGCAUUUUAUACUACUUCUUGCUUAUGUUUUGAUUAGAAAAUCGUAAAAAAUAAUCCAAAAAGGCUUACGAGUUGUGCUUGAUUGCAGAUUUGAUCAACAAAGUGACAAGAUAUCAAAUAUCAACUCAAAAAGGAGUGAAACUUGUACAAGUACCAAAAUAAGACAAAGCUCAUGCAAAACAUGCCCAAUGUGGCCGCACACCAUUCUAUACGGUCCGCACAAGUGAGGUUCAGAGAAGGUGAUUUCCAGGCCAACAGGCAAUGAGGCCGCAUGAUAUUUAAUGCGGUCUGCACUCAAGUCACCGCGGCCACACUCGAUUUAGUGCGGUUCACAGAACCAAAGAUCAGAGAGGUGCCGGUUUUGGAGAUUGAAGCCAAUGUGGUCCGCACUAGAAGUCACCACGGCCAUACUCGAUUCUUUGCGGUUCGCAUUGCCUGAGUUCAGAGAGAUGAAGUUUUAUGUCAAGAGCCUUAGUGCGGCCGCACGUGAUUUUUUGCGGUCUGCACUGCCCCGUAGGGGUAUUUUUAUCCAGAUUUUUAGCUUAGUAUAAAUAGCUUAUUUUUCCAUUUUUAGGUUAUCAGAUAGUUUUAGCUGUGAACUGCUCCGUGGGUUCGAAGUGUUUGGCUAUUUUGGGCAAUUUUAG
rnacentral:lncRNA from 1 species